UCAACCACAAAAGAGAGGUAUUUGAUAUUUUCUCCUGUAAUAUGUGAAAUUAUACAAUCUGAUGCCGUUUCCUGUAAUCCGCAUAGCGCCACUGCACAAGGGCAGCUGUUCAGUCUCAUGCUCAAGAACUGAACUGGUACCGGUAUAAUAUUCCAGUGGAUCAUCGCUUGAACGCAGUGUGGCAAUGUGAUUAUCAACGAUUAAUUUCGCUUAUUAUAAUUUAUUGCAUCAGUUUUUGGGGACGACUUGGAAUGCUAGAUAAUAAACUGAAUACAGUUUAUGUGACCGAACCGGACAAGUUUUACGACAUGUUGUUGUCUGGAAAAUGCCACGUGCAUUCUUGGGACAUGUUUUCCGAAGACGUUGUCCAAAUGACGUACAGGAAAGAAGGUGGUUUUGUGGAUCAGAAUCCAAACACUAAUGUCGUCUUGCGGCGUUUACAACAUGUUGGGCAAGACUGCAUUUAUACAAAUUUAUAGACAUGGUCAAGGAUCGUUUGCUGUACUUUGACACAGACUCAAUUUUUUUUGUCUCGAAACCCGGACAUGUGGACCUUCCAACUGGUUGUUUCCUAGGAGACCUAACGAACGAGCUUAAACCUGGUCAAUAUAUUACACAGUUCAUUAGUCUUGAAGCCAAAACCUACUCGUACGUCACCAACGACGGCGAAACAGUGGCAAAAGUCAAAGGAUUCACUUUGAAUGGACGAACGAUUUUUGCUGCGUUUGUUGUCACUGAAGGCAUUGGAAAAAUUAUCCAAACCGACCACUGGAACAACACUAUACGAAACCGAACAGCUGAACAGUUUGACGUUUCAACUGUUAGCAAAAAUGCGACGGUUGGAAUUCUGGGAACUGUAUAGGAAGGAGCGCUUAUUUCAACCAUUUAUUACGGUCAUGCCAAUGGUAGCAUAGCAGACUGGAACAGUUCUCCUAGACGUAACUGGUUUUCCAAGAUUAUUUGUCGGUGCAGCACAAAGCACGGUGUGGAUUUUGAUUUUGAAAUUACAGAAAUUUCAGCAGUGAAGUAAAAACUACACUACGAGUGUUUUGUUCCACGGUGAUUCAUGUAUAAAAACUAACCGGUUCUGAUAACCUCCACUUGUACAGAGGUAAACCGUUAUGAUUACCUCAGCUAGUACAAUUGUAAUCGGUUUUGAUUACCUAGGUAAUCCGUUUGGAUUGCUUAGGUGAUCGGUUUGGAUUACCCAGGUUUUCCAAACACAACCAUCCGAUCAUAAUAGUUGGCUAACGCGUGCGGGUAGUGGGCGGUGGCUGUGCUUCCU